rnacentral:rRNA from 1 species
GACGAACGCUGGCGGCGUGCCUAAUACAUGCAAGUAGAACGCUGAAGGAGGAGCUUGCUUCUCUGGAUGAGUUGCGAACGGGUGAGUAACGCGUAGGUAACCUGCCUGGUAGCGGGGGAUAACUAUUGGAAACGAUAGCUAAUACCGCAUAAGAGUAGAUGUUGCAUGACAUUUGCUUAAAAGGUGCAAUUGCAUCACUACCAGAUGGACCUGCGUUGUAUUAGCUAGUUGGUGGGGUAACGGCUCACCAAGGCGACGAUACAUAGCCGACCUGAGAGGGUGAUCGGCCACACUGGGACUGAGACACGGCCCAGACUCCUACGGGAGGCAGCAGUAGGGAAUCUUCGGCAAUGGACGGAAGUCUGACCGAGCAACGCCGCGUGAGUGAAGAAGGGUUUCGGAUCGUAAAGCUCGGUUGUAAGAGAAGAACGAGUGUGAGAGUGGAAAGUUCACACUGUGACGGUAUCUGACCAGAAAGGGACGGCUAACUACGUG